UUUUUACACUUGAUCUCUGAACUCUCAGGUAAGUUCCUGUGUUGAACAAGUUAAAUGCUGAUGCA
rfam:Ananas comosus cultivar MD2 ACMD2_Scaffold_1222, whole genome shotgun sequence.